AUAAUUCGUAAAUUCAAAAUGCACGAAUGACGCGGAAAGAACUUGCGUGGAUGCGCCGUUUUUGUCCCGAUAACGAUAAAAUUGAUUUGGUCUCGCCACAGGUUUCCGCAACAACCGGACGGAGUCGAAACUAUUUCCUGGUGCAACAGGAAAAGGGGUGCGUUUAUGGUUCGUCGAACCGUGUUAGAGUUAGCCAGUAUUUAUCGUAACGAAAUUCUUUUUCCGCUUGACUUUUCAUCCGCGACUUGUUUAAGAGUCAUUCCAUCGAAAUGUAUACGGUGCCGAUUUCUCUCGAAACAGUUCUUAUCGUCAAUAGUUUCUGAUAAGCGUGUAUCCUAUACGUGGAUAGAUAAUACUUUCUAAUCCUCAAAGCUCUCUGUUCCUAUCUUACGAUGAAAAAACAACUCUUAAAAAAGUUCUGAAACUGAAACUGUUUACAAAGAAGACGAAGCCAAAGAGAUAAUAGAUUAUAUUUCAUCUUCUAUCGCGCUUCUUGUUAUUAUUUCUUUCGCGGAAGUAUUUUUAAAUAUGAUCGCACUUGUUGACGAAUCAGAUCUUACACUUGUUUCAUUCAAGUAACGCCCAUUCAUUAAGUCACGCAAAUAGUUUUUAAUCGACGAUAUUAAUCGUCGUGCGUGUGUAGAGUCGGGCAGUCCUGAAAAUUUUUAUUAAAAAGAUAUUAAUCUAAUUUUGUCAGAUUUUAUAAUCUUUUUUCUAGUUUAUUCUUUCGCGUACAAUUAAAUGAUUUAAGCAAAUCAAUAUUCUCAAUAACUGAACGCAUCAUGUCCUGCAUAAAAUGUAUGACAAACACAUACAUAAUUGUCCUUUUUAUUAAAAGCGUAAUAAUUUCACGAGAAUCUUUUUUCUUCGACUUAAUAUCUUCUCGUCGUAUGUUGCACACAGGGAAAAGGACGUGAGACCGGAAAUGAUAAGGCCGGACGUCAAGCAAGUUUCUGUCUGGAAGUGCAACUCUAUAUAACGAAUCGUGUAAUGUAACUCUUUGUAGGAAAAAGAAGAACGUUGAAAGCGUGAAGACCGUUGGCGCCGAUUGUUAAGAAAGUCAACUGGUUGAGAAACGCGUGUGUGGAGGAUUAAAUAAUAAAUUAUUAAUGACUCGAAUUACGACACCCGUGGAGUCUCUCUCUCUCUCUCUCUCUCUCUCUUUCUCUCUCUCUCUUCUGUUGCACUUUAGUCAGAACUCUACUCAUUAGUCAGGAGUUUACUCAUAUUUAAUGGAAAUUAUUAUGAUGAUGUCAGCAACAAGGAACACUAAAACUUUGGAGCUUAUGCAAAUUCACUUAUCGCAAAUAAUCUGCUGCAAUAAUCUAAUAAUUUAGAAAUUCUCUGAAAAUGAUGAAGAAACAUUUUUAAUAAAACUGCUUGUUUGACACAAAUAAUUUGAAUACUAAAAAUUAAUAAUAAUAACAUGGUAACAAUUUCAAUACGAAAAAUAAUAAUAGAAAUAUAAAAAUUUUUGUACUGAAAAAUGAAUAAUACAAAUCAGAAAGAUUUCGAACACUCUAAAGAGAGUUUCAAAGCUGAUACUACCCAACGUGCUAUUGUCCAUGUAAAUAACCAGCGUUACGUAUAUUGCUGAGAAAAGAUUGUAUUCAUUCACCUCACACAUGUGUAUGUGCACAACUUGCACAUUCACUUACAUGUACCGAUACUCGAAUAGGCAUGACGUAAAGGUAUGGAUGACACAUUAUGCGGCGAUCGCGUUACACCAGGAAGAUUGUUAUACCUCUUCUAUCUCGCACGCAAUUCCAUGACACGCGGUCCCAGGUAUUAAUUAUUAUAGUCCAAGGAUACAGCGACCUAAUUCUCCGCAACAACUGUAUAAGCAGCUGCUACUGUUCUGCAGCCAUGAGAUAAACUAAGCCUGAUUGAGACGUUAAUCUGCUGAUGAUUGACAGAAAGGUCUAACAGAACUGUUUAUCAUAAGUUUUGUGCUCGAGAUGCUGCAAGUUUCGCGAGGAAAAAUUAUUUAUCAAAUCUAUUGGAUAUCUUGAUACCGCGUCUAUCUCUCGCGAUAUAUUUAACGUUAAAACAAAGAAAAUAAUUAAGCCGAAUGAAUAACUCUCCAAGUUCUGACGAGACUUUGGUGUAGUUUCGUGUACGUUCAACUACGGAGAAUAUUGAUUUGUCUAAAUGACUAAACUUUCGACAGUGGAUACGUGCCUCAUCUACAGAAAUGCGAUUACCUCGAGCACGUAUAACGCGCGUCUGAAUAAUAAAUUAAUAAAAAGUGAGUAACAAUGUCAAGGAUAAACGCCACUUACAUUGACGCGAUUCUACGCGUUCGCGCGCGCCGAUGUGCUUCCUGCCGCAGUAUAAAUGUACAAUCGCGAUCUCACUUUCCCUAAUAGGCGAGCUUCUGUGAAUGGAUCAAGCGUUUCAGGACAGACAAGUUGGACAACUGCGCACGCAAUCGCAUAUUAAUAUUCCUCGCAUAUAAGUCGCUUAAAAAUGAAUUCAUGGAAGCUCUACUUCCGCGUAUUUCUUAGACGUACCUAAUUAUUAAACAAAUUAUUUUUAGAAUGUCCUACAUGCAUCUCUGUGUCAGUGAAGAAUUUCAGAGAUAUCGAUACGUGCAGCGCGAUGUGGAUCACCAAUACUUUCAAACUUUCCAAUCGUGUCAUUCGCGUGCAACAAUCAACAAGGUUCACGAAGAAACACCUGAUAAACAUGUAUGUUAAUCAGACAAAUUAAAUUAAUUUCGCACCGACAGCUAAAGUCAAGUCUGACAAGCGAUACGAUCUUCCCAUUACUCUUCGCAACGUUCUUCGGCGAUUAAGAGAGAAUUCGAUGCAUGAAGAAUCCGCGACUGCAAACGGUCGGAUCGCGCAUAUGCAUUCAUCGAAGUCGACGAUAAUCAGCAAUCGUCCAUUUCCUCGUGCGAAGUUUCGAGUAAGCAAGCGUCAAUGAUUUCCUCGGGCAGUGUGACGUGGCUGUACACGUGGGCACCCGGUAGCGACAUGUUUGUCGUCGUGCCGGCGGCAAGAUGGUCGAGGAGGAGCUAAAGGACACGUUGAAUCCUUAAUGAGACAUUCCGAUCCCGUUGGCGUGGCCCCGUCGCGUCGUGGCGGAUGGCAGUCCAGGUAUGUGGGACGCUCCGUAUGAUACCGGUCGGGUGAACAUGUAUGGUCAUCAUGGACUAGCCUAGCGCGAGAUGCCUACCACCGAAUCCACCAGUGUCCAAGUUUUCGUCGAUCGCCCGGUCGAUCUCACCCGCGCCAGCGAGAACCGGUUCUUCCUGAACUGCCAUCGUGGUCGUGUUCUUUGGGACACAUAUCCGGAUAAUUCCCGCGUUAUAGGAAUGUUAUGGGCUUUCCGCCGUCCUGAUGAGACCGGAAUGGUGAUCGCCGACACGCAGUUUGAGAGAAGUCUUGCCGACGCGUCCUCUUCUCGUGCCUCUCAAUUAACCGCGUGCAUUACCGCAGGGAUAAUUGGGAGUUUAUUGUUGCUCGUUGCUCGUUGCUCGUCCGACUCGUGGCCUCCGGAUCGCAUCGGUGAUGCGAUAAAGCAAUGAAACAAUUAACUGAACUGGAGGCAAAUUACAUAAAUUCAUCAGGCAAUUAAUCCACAGGCCAUGGCGCUAAUUUUUCUUAUCACGCGCUGAGACCGAGACACGCGAUGCGCGAUUAAUUACUUGGCUAGCUACUCCGGUAAACAGCCAUAAUCAAAGCGAUUAAUGAUAUGCUCCAGCGUGAAAUAACGGUAUAACGCCGGGCAUGUCGUGAAAGACGUAAGAAGAGAAACUAACGUGAGCAGAAAGCGUUAUCAAUGCUAGGAAUUUGAAGGAAGACGCAGAAAGAUAGCAAUAAAUCAAGUUACGUUGACAAUCUCUUGUUAUCUAAUCCAAUUGUUUUCCUUGACAGACCGCUGAUAGGGGAAGAAAAGCAAGGGAAGCAGACAUCGAGAUGCAGAAAUGAUGAUGUUGGAUGUGCGUGACGCGUGCAUCAUUGCUCGGAAAUAAAAUCUCAUUGCUACGUUGUUACGCAAUUCCAUUUGCGACAACAGAACUCGACGAAACUUUCACAACUCAUGUUAGAUUUAUUGCUACUUCUCUCAUUGUUCCCGGCGCGCUGUAGAGUGUCGACUGUAGAGCCACGUAUGCUAUUAUAAGAAGCGACCAUUUCACAUUAAAUCAAUACAUAUUCCUUCAUGCUUCUAUCGAACGUACAUAAUAUAUCAUAACACUCUCGUACGUAAAGAAUGCAUGGUCGUGUGUGUAAAGAGAAUCGGAUCAAAGCUCGACCUUGAUUUUCACAAAUUGAAUCUAUAGCAGAAAUAACGAUAAGAUGUUUCCGGCAGCGAGAUAAUUGCACAUGCGUGUAUUAUAAAUGUUUCACAUACAUAAAAAACACAAACUUACUUUAAUAUAAAUAUAAAUAAUAACUCGCACACAUCGCUGUCAAAUUAAACGCAGCAGCAGCGUCGAAUUAAAAUCUGAAUUGCAGCUCGCGCGUACUCUCUUAAGUAAAUGUUAAUUAAUAAUUCGACGAAAGAUGAAAUGGCCUUCCGCUUAUUCUCGUUAACUUAUUAUAUUAUAUUAUUAAAAUACACGAGUCGUACAAGUACCACGUAAAAGUUCAUAAUGAGGAUGUAUGCGAGACCGCAGUAAUGUAUUUUUACGAGUCAAUCAACUCGUCCGGAGUCGAAUAAACCGGCUAAUACAAUGUUGCGACCAGACACUAUUUUUCCGUCUGGCAAAGAUAGAGUACUUUAUGUUAACCGCUCCGUAAGAGGAUUACCGUUACGCGGUUAUGCCACUGCAGGUUCAACGUCACGGUAUAAACCGCGCGGCCAGGACGCCAUGAUGAUGCGCGUGUACGCAGUGCGUACUUCCAGGUCGAUCGGAACAAUCAGCAGAAAAUAUCUCGUCGAGGAGCAUUUUUAUUUUGGUGCUCACUUUUUCUUGCUCUGAUGGCUCUAGUGCACGUAGUGUAUGGAUGCGAGAGGUCACGUUAAUCACUGACGUCAUUUCUUAAUGUGUUCUAGACCGUGAGACCUUCUGCAUAUGGCUUUGGCACGUGUUGACUUUAAAAGCAGAAUUUUGAAUACAGUUUCAUUAUAUAUUUCUGCAAAAUAAAGUUUUUAAGUUUUUCUGAGUUUCAUAAGUGUGAAUAUUUAUAUCUCUUGCGCUUGAUUCUUCGGAGAAUCUCAUCGAAUGGAUCGGAAUUGGCUUGGAGAGUAAAUGCGCGCAACGGCGCGGCGUGUAAAUUUUGUCACGAAAGAGAGCACCGGGGAAACGAGUUUUAUUAAGAAUAAUGCGCGAGGGAUGCGAGACAGAGGGACAGAGACAGAGAUAGAGGACUCUAUGAAGCCAAUGAUGAGCGUCAGCCAAAGCUUUCAGCCGAGAAAUAUCUUCCGGGUAAAAAUCUUAAAGAUUCGCAUUUCGGUCGAGAGGUACUCAGAAAUAGCGUGUGCAUAUGGAAAAUCGAUGGUAAGUAGCAACAGAACAGUCACGGAUUAAUAAAGAGAGAAAGCCUAAUAAGGUAACGUGAAAAAUACUCUAGCAAGAGUUUGAAGGUUGCAGGUGAAUGCUCGAAUGAAGCAAUAGGAGAUCACUGCCGCUUGAGCAAUAAACUUCACUGCUCGAAGAAGUCACGGCAUGUAAAUGAGAAUUUCUGCCGCUCGAAGCCGAUUUUCCGAAGUAAUUGUACUCCUAACGGAGUUUCACCUGACGACGAGUACAACAAUAUUUGCGCCGCGAUCGGAGACAAGCGUGCGUACGGAGAGAUCGAGGCCGACGAGAAAGUUAAAUUUCCUCAUAGAAAGUAUUGACCCCAGCCUAAUAAACGGGGGAAGCUGUUUCUAAUUCAGUCGUCAUAAAGGUACGGAUCGUAAAGUAGGCUUAUCAGAGCCCGGAAUGCGCUCCCCGCAUACCUAGUGUACAUUCGCGCGGUAAGUAGGCGGCAUGUGAACAAUCCUUGGCGUAUUUCUGCGUCAUUCGAGCAAUACCUGAACGUGAACGCGACUGAGCGAGUCAGUCAAGUCUAGAAAAACGAACGAGAGCAUCAAUAACGCUUUAAUCUUUUCGCUUAAUCUCUCCGUUGAUAUCAUGAGUGAAUAAAUAAGCAUGCGUAAUUUGAUUAUUUAAAGCAGUUAUGUUUAAAACAGAGAUAGCAGAAUUAAUCGCCAGGUCGUCUCUUGCAGAUUAAAUAGAUGGCCGAUUGAAGGAGUUCAGUUACGUAUGAAAGAAUCCUACGGAUUGUCAUUCAUGUUGCCAACGAACGAGAUCGCGGAAUCAAAUGUCGUGUCAAAAGCUAAAGAAUAUCGCAGCACGAUAACCAGAUAUGUUCUGUACGGUCAGCAUCGAAGUAUAGAAUUGCGACUUGAGUAAGUAGACGCGUGGAUGUAACGUUACGUAACGCUAUUCUGUAUGCGUGUAGUGUUUCCAAGGCGAAAUCCAUCUAAACAUGAGCGAUCGGAAAUUACUUCUGGAAUCUCAUCUUUUUCCUCGUUCGAUUGGCACUGCGAAAAAACGCGGAGCGGUUGACAUUGCCGUGUGCCGGUGUUGAUGAAUUUACAACCACAAAAAUUUGAUGAAGAAAUUUGUGAAAUUCUCGCGAUCUCGUUGACAAAAUGAAGUGACAAGUCCAAGAAACCAAGAGAAUCAUGCUGCCAGAAUAUAGCAAUAAGAGCCAAAAAUGCUGCAUAAGGCGGAAAGAAAUUCCGUGUACCUGUCAAGUAUUUUAAUCUCUUAAUUUUCGUGUAUUUACUAAGUAUAAUAUGCUGCCAAUUGGCAGCAUUAAGACAAUAUAAUAUCUAUAGCUUCUGGUCAUCAAAAUAGAGGAAGAAAUAUCUUUGAGUAUAUCACAGUUUAGCUUUCCUAUAUUAAUUUACAAAUAAAAGAUAUAACAUAUUAUCUAUUAUCAGUUAUGUAGCGUUUCUAUAAUAGUUUUCUAGAUCAACUUAUAAUACAUUUCUAGCGUGUUUAGACUAGAGAUUACAUGGUGUUAUAAAAAUAUAUGCCAAGUGGCUCUGAAGUUCCUAUUAUUAGCCAUUACGUGAUAAGCAUCAAGUGUAUUGCGAACGGAACUAAGCUGAAAAUAGAAAAUAGAGAAAUACUUGAAGAACAAAUGAUCAAGGAAUUUGGAAAUCGGCGGUUGAUGUUCCAUAAUAUUGAAAUAAAUUAAAAGAGAAUCAAUUAAAAAAAAAA